rnacentral:tRNA from 1 species
GUGGCUGUAGCUCAGUGGUAGAACGCUCACCUGGCAUGUGUGAGGCACUGGGUUCAAUCCUCAGUACUACA